rnacentral:rRNA from 1 species
AGUUUGAUCAUGGCUCAGAACGAACGCUGGCGGCGUGGAUAAGACAUGCAAGUCGGACGAGAUUUCAUCCUGUAGCAAUACGGGAAGAAGUCUAGUGGCGAACGGGUGCUUAACACGUGGGCAAUCUGUCUUAAAGUGGGGGAUAGCUCGGCGAAAGCCGAAUUAAUACCGCAUGUGAUUAGAGUGGACAUCCAUUCAAAAUCAAAGUCGGGGCAACCUGACGCUUUUUGAGGAGCCCGCGGCCUAUCAGCUAGUUGGUGAGGUAACGGCUCACCAAGGCUUUGACGGGUAGCUGGUCUGAGAGGACGACCAGCCACACUGGGACUGAGACACGGCCCAGACACCUACGGGUGGCAGCAGUCGAGAAUUUUUCUCAAUGGGGGAAACCCUGAAGGAGCGACGCCGCGUGGAGGAUGAAGGUCUUCGGAUUGUAAACUCCUGUCAUUGGGGAACAAGGUGCAUACGUUAACUGCGUGUGCAUUGAUAGUACCCGAAGAGGAAGAGACGGCUAACUCUGUGCCAGCAGCCGCGGUAAUACAGAGGUCUCAAGCGUUGUUCGGAUUCAUUGGGCGUAAAGGGUGCGUAGGCGGCGCGGUAAGUCGGGUGUGAAAUCUCGGAACUUAACUCCGAAACUGCAUUCGAUACUGCCGUGCUCGAGGACUGGAGAGG